rnacentral:rRNA from 1 species
GAGCUCCUACGGGACGCAGCAGUGGGGAAUAUUGGGCAAUGGGCGCAAGCCUGACCCAGCAACGCCGCGUGAAGGAAGAAGGCUUUCGGGUUGUAAACUUCUUUUCUCAGGGACGAAGCAAGUGACGGUACCUGAGGAAUAAGCCACGGCUAACUACGUGCCGGCAGCCGCGGUAAUACGUAGGUGGCAAGCGUUAUCCGGAUUUACUGGGUGUAAAGGGCGUGUAGGCGGGAAAGCAAGUCAGAUGUGAAAACCACGGGCUCAACCUGUGGCCUGCAUUUUAAACUGUUUUUCUUGAGUACUGG